UUGACUUAUUCAGUACAGAAGACUCAGAGAGGCCAUACAAUUCAAGGGUUUGGUUUACCUCCGGCGGGCGCCCACGGGGGGCCGGGGGGCGCCGGGCACGGGGCCCGGGCCGCCCGCCGAAGCAACGGGAUAGGUAACGUUCACAAUGGUUUGGGAGUUUUGCAACUCUGUAAUGAUCCCUCCGCUGGUUCACCAACGGAGA
rnacentral:misc_RNA from 1 species